UACGGAGGGUGCGAGCGUUGUCCGGAAUCACUGGGCGUAAAGGGCGCGUAGGCGGCGCGGGAAGUCAUCGGUGAAAGUUCAGGGCUCAACUCUGAAUCGGCCGGUGAUACUCUCGUGUUCGAGCACUGUAGAGGCAGGUGGAAUUCCGGGUGUAGCGGUGGAAUGCGUAGAGAUCCGGAAGAACACCGGUGGCGAAGGCGGCCUGCUGGGCAGUAGCUGACGCUGAUGCGCGACAGCGUGGGGAGCAAACAGG
rnacentral:rRNA from 1 species